rnacentral:rRNA from 1 species
GGGAAACUGCCUGAUGGAGGGGGAUAACUACUGGAAACGGUAGCUAAUACCGCAUAACCUCGCAAGAGCAAAGAGGGGGACCUUAGGGCCUCUCGCCAUCAGAUGUGCCCAGAUGGGAUUAGCUAGUAGGUGAGGUAAUGGCUCACCUAGGCGACGAUCCCUAGCUGGUCUGAGAGGAUGACCAGCCACACUGGAACUGAGACACGGUCCAGACUCCUACGGGAGGCAGCAGUGGGGAAUAUUGCACAAUGGGCGCAAGCCUGAUGCAGCCAUGCCGCGUGUGUGAAGAAGGCCUUCGGGUUGUAAAGCACUUUCAGCGAGGAGGAAGGCGGUAAGGUUAAUAACCUUAUCGAUUGACGUUACUCGCAGAAGAAGCACCGGCUAACUCCGUGCCAGCAGCCGCGGUAAUACGGAGGGUGCAAGCGUUAAUCGGAAUGACUGGGCGUAAAGCGCACGCAGGCGGUCUGUUAAGUUGGAUGUGAAAUCCCCGGGCUUAACCUGGGAACUGCAUUCAAAACUGACAGGCUAGAGUCUUGUAGAGGGGGGUAGAAUUCCAGGU